GGAUGUGAGGGAGAUCUGGCUGUGACAUCUGUCACCUUGUUGAUUCCCAGAGUUGUUUCAGCUGAUCUGGUGGGCUAGGUUGGUGUUCCCUUUCUUCCUCACCGCUCUAUGUGUGUCCCUCCUGAAGCUGCACCCUGAAGAACCCCCUUCCUGAGGUACAGAUUGUUAAACAAUACAGUUAGAGGGGCUGUAAUUGAAUUUGCAAAUAGUUAUCAAAGGGAGGUACUGAGCCCCCCGCCCCCACCUCUAAGGCCCAGGGCAGUGCCACCCUGUGAAGAGGAAGAGCCUCACCUGGACAUGGU
rnacentral:snRNA from 1 species